AUCCACACCAAGGAGCCCUCGACUCCAGCUGCUGUUCCAGGGAGCCUUUCUGUGCCAGAUUUCCCUGAGACACACUUUGUGUGAGACUGUCGUGGUAUUGUUGACAGACGUGUAUUUCAAGAGUACUGUCAUUAAAUCCUUUCUCAUGUCCAUGAACUUCGCUCUGAGCCUGUCGUUGUUAAUGUAGUUUAUGUUACAUCUUGCAGAUAGAUGUUGCCUCGUAGAACAAGAUGGUGGUAGAAGCAAAGAUGAAGUGUUAGAGAACAUGUUCCUGUGUUCUGAAGCCCAGAUGAAGUAGUGUUGCCCCAUUUGAUAGCUUCAGUCUUAGAGGUUCAAAUUGGAACUUAACAUUACAGCUUUAUUUUUCGUAUUAAAUUCAAGUUUCAAUGGGAUAAAAUGAAGCUGAUCUUAAAGUGUUCUCUUUUAAACUAUUGUAAAAUAGAACAGCAGACUGUAGAUUUUUUUUAACUUUUUAUUUUGAACUAAUUUUUGACUACAGAAAAAUUGCAAAAAAUAAUAGAGUUCCCAUAUACCCCCUCAUCCAACUUUCCCUGAUAUUAUAACAUCUUGUAUAACCAUAAUACAGUUAUUAAAACCAGGAAAUGUACAUUGCUGUGAUACUCUUAACUAAUCUACAGCUCUUUCUUGAAUUUUGCCAGCAUUUUCACUAAGUGUUCUUUGUCUGUUUCGGCAUCCUGCCUUGCAUUUGUUGUUGUUGCUUAGUCUCCUCCCAUCUCUGACAGCUCCUUAUUUUUCCUUGUCUUUUAUGAUUUUGACAUCUUUGAAGAGUACUAGUCAGGUAUUUUGUAGGAUGAUCCUCAGUUUGGUUUUGUCUGAUGUACUCCCGUGAUUAGGAUGAGAUUUUGCAUUUUUGGCAAGAAUCCCAGAGAACUGCAUCAUAUCAAGAGGUUCCUAUCAGAGAUGCAUUCUAGUAUGUUGUUUCAAGAGAUCCAUAAUUCUGAUAUGUUAACCUCGAUCACUUGGGUGAAAUGAUGUCUGCCAGGUUUCUCCACUAUCAAGUUACUCUCUUUUCAUUUGUAGUUAAUGAAUACCUUGGAGGAAGGACCUUGAGGCAGAUAGUUUUUUUCUUCUCAAAUUUAAGCCCACUAAUUUUUGCAUUUGGUGGAUAUUGUCUGCAACAGUUACUACUGUAGUAUUUGCCUAAUGGUGGUUUUCUGUUUUGCCCAUCUGCAUUUAUUUCUUAGAAUUCUUUUGUAAUGUAAAACCGUGCCAGGGGCCUGCCCCACGGUGUAGUGGUUGAGUUUGGCACGCUCCACUUCGGUGGCCCUGGUUUGUAGGUUCGGAUCCAAGCCACAGACCUACACUACUUGUCAGCCAUGCUCUGGUGGUGGCCCACAUACAAGACAGAGGAAGAUUGGCACAGAUGUCAGCUCAGGGCUAAUCUUCACACACAAAAAAGGCUGUGCCAUUCCCCCUGCCCACCUCGUUUAUUAUUUUAUUUGAGUAUAUCAGUGUGGACUCACAUAGUUAAUUUAUUCUCUAGGUCAAAAUCCAGUUAUUGUGUGGUUUGCUCAAGCUGUUCCACCUUUGACCAUUAAGAGCUACUUUGAGUUGCCUCCUGAAUUCUUUCAACAAGUACCCAUCCUUUGUUGAACACACUUUCUUUCUGACGCCAUGAAAUAUUACAGGUUUACCUUGUGUUUUUCCUGCCCCAGCCUUGGAAUCAUCACUUCUCCAAAGAGCCCUUCUUCCUUUUAUUGUAGAAUGGUGUUUAAAAACCAACGUCUUAUGUAGGCGUGUGUAUUGCCUUUGGGGUGUCACUGCCCUUAGGCCUUCUCAGCAGGUGGAGCUGGGAAACUACGUGUCCUACCCAGAGCACUCGUCUGUAUUUAUGUGUUUGUUGAUGUAUAUUUAAAAAGACCACUUUGUGCUGAUACUUCUGGUUCCAGUCUAACACCACAGGAUUCAUUUACAUUUUUCCUUAUUUGUGAGUUCUUUCUCCGAGAGUGAGAAACCUGGCUCUUAUCUACAAUGUAUUUACUUAUUUUUUUUUAAAAUCUAGUACACAUAAAAGUAAUUUCAGAGUACUAAUCCUGACCCCCAGGAGAAAGAUUUAUUAACUGUGUAGCGCUAUGUACGUUCAGUUCUUUUUCUUUAGCCUGUAGCAGUCAAGAAACUUUUCCAAAGUUCUUUUCUUUCCCACCCCCUUCAUGGUUGUUACUCAUUUGUAAUAUGGUUAUGUUCAUUUGUUACUGUUUGUGUUCCAUUUUGGAUUCUGUCUGCAUCCUGCGUGGUUUUAAUGGUUUCUUAGGGGGUAGGUGAAGGGUAUGUGAAACAUUAAUGUGGUUCUGAGAGUCACAGCUGUGUAAAAACACAGAGAAGUGAACACAGAGAAGUGUCACUUCCUCCUUGUUUCCUGCUGCCCUACUCCCAUUCCCAUCUUCUGUCUACCACUGCUCCACCUGCCCAGUGUCAGUAACCAAUUAUUAUUUUCUGGUUUAACCUCUUUCUAUUUCUUUUGUGCAAAUAGAUACAUGUGUAUUUUCUUAUAUUCCUUUCUUUCUUAGAUGAUGGAUGACAUGUAACAUCUCCAUUGCACUUUAAUUUUUUCCAAUUGUUAGUAUGCCCUGGUGAUUGUUCUAAAUCAGUUUAUGGAGAUGUUCCUCUUUUUAUGUUUUAUUUUUUUACAGAGAGAGACAGUAUUCACUUGUGUAGAUGUAGCAUAGUUUAUUCAGCCGCUUUCCUAUUUAUGGGCAUUUAGGUUUCCGAUAUUUUGCAAUUACAAAUGAUACAAUGAAUAACUUUGGUGUAUAUGUAUUUUUGUAUCGUUGGACGCGUAUCUUCAGGGUAGAUUCUUAGAGGUAGGAUUAGUGGGCCAUCUGCACAAUUAGCAUAUAUUUCUUUUAAAGGCAGUAAAGUCUUUUUAAAUGUAUUUGUUCUCUUAUUAAGGACGUGGUUUAACUCAUACUUGUGUAUCUACAUUUCAUUGAUGAUUUUUUGUUAAUGACUUUGGGACAUUAUAGUGUCCUAAACGGACUUCAAAAUCAUUAAGGAAUAUUAAGUAUAGUGAUUAUGUUCAUUUUGCUAUACUGGGAUUUUUUUCUUUUUUAGAAAUUGCUCGUGCAUGUGAGAGCUUUCCAUUCAUUGGAGUAUUUCCAAUUUAUAAAAUAAAGAUACUUC
ensembl:lncRNA